rnacentral:ncRNA from 1 species
GGGUAGUAUCUUUUUAGAACUACACCGGUAAGUUACUUUUUUAAAUUAAAUAGUCUGCCUUGAUCUAUGAAUGACAGGGACGGAG